AUGACAUGCAGAGGUACUUACUCUCAUGAAGGUGUUGCCUCCAUGGCAGCUGACACAAUCCCUUUCCAGGGUCUAGGCCUUCUGGUGCAAAUUCCCACACCCAAACCAAUAGAGGCCAGAGAGACCCAGAGACAGCUUUGGAAUCUUCAGACAAUUGAUCAGAUUGGCUCCUGCGAAGAACCGUUUGUCAUCCUUGGUCCAGGAGGUCAACUCAAAUCCAAGAAGUCAAUUUUCUUAAUAACCACAAAUGUAUGUGACAUUAUGGCUCUGGCCUAUUCUUCAGAAGCCAUUAAGGUGCCUUCCCUGGGGCAUCAAGUGUGAUUAGAGAUCUUGUAGAGCACAAGUUCUGGAGACUCAAAGCUGGAAGGGAAGAAAUUGCAUUGCAUAACUGCUGAGAUUUGAGAUUGGUGUGGAAAAACAGGGAACCGAGCUGGCUACCGGGAAGGACAUUUCCGACAGAGGAACCGUGAGUAGAAACUCGGAAGAGGAUAAGCGUGGUGCCUGUUCCUGGAAUAAGAAGCACUCUAGUUUGGCAUCUGCACUUAUUUACUUCGUUUAUAUAAACUAAGUACCUGUGAGGUUUAAGGCUUAGAAAGUAAGUUAGGCUAUAGUUUGGAGAGUAUUAAUAAGAUGAGGAGAGGAGUCUGGAGUUCAUUACUUGGGCAAUUAGAAACUGGAAGUUUAGGGAGCAACAUGACCAUAUCUCUGUCUUUGAAAGAUUUAUCUGGCAAAAGGACUUUGGCAGGAUGGGAGGUGGGAAUACAUGGAGGAAGCAAGACAUGGAGAGAUUAUAGAGGCAGUGGCAAUGGACUGGAAAAGAGGGAACAGAUGGGAGGUCCACCAAGGAUUUGAACCAUUAUGGUGGUAGUUGGAAUAAAAAUAAGAGGGAGAAAGUGAAAAGUGUAAGGGAGAUUCAAUCUAUAGAACUUGAUGAUCUCUUGGGUCUUUAGGGCUAAGGAUUUUGAGAUGAUACCUCUCACCUUCCCAUUCAUCCAAAUUACCUCUGGAUGAAUGAGAAAAUAGUGAUACCAUUAAAGAAACUGUAAAAUUUUGGCUGGGUACAGUGACUCACACCUGUAAUCUCAGCACUUUGGGAGACAGAGGUGGGAGGAUCACUUGAGUCCAGGUGUUUGAGACCAGCCUGGGCAACAUAGCAAAACCCCGUCUCUAUUACAACUUAAAAAAAAAAUUGGCCAGGUGGGGUGGUGCGUGCCUGUGGUCCCAGCUACUCAGGAGGUUGGGGUGGGAGGAUUGCUUGAGCCUGGGAGUUCAAGGCUGCAGUGACCUAUGAUUGUACUACUGUACUCCAGCCUGGGUGACAGAGUGAGACUCUGUCUCUUAAAAAAAAGAAAACAUCAAAUCAGGGAAAUACUUUUUUAGUUUGAGGUAAUAUCAUUACUUAGAAAAUGAUGGGUGGAAAUGUUUAGUUGCCAGACAAAAAUGUGAGUCUGGAGCCAAGAAGAUAUGUACCCAGAAUACAAUAACUGAAGCCACAGCAGGGGAGGAAAUCAUCUAAGGAGGAAGUGUUAGGAAAUAGAAAUGGAACAAUAAUGAAAGUUAGGGGCCAUCUACAUUUAGAGGUGAAUGGAGGAGAAAGAAUCUUCAGGGUAAUCAGAGAGAGACCAUAAAGGUGGGAAGAGAAUUAGGCACUGCUAUUUUCCGUCUUUUUUUUUUGAGACAGUCUCGCUGUUUCACCCAGGCUGGAGUGAAGUGUUGCAAUCUUGGCUCACCGCAACCUCCCCCACCUCGGGUUCAAGUGAUUAUCCUGCCUCAGGCUCCUGAGUAGCUGGGACUACAGGUGUGCGCCACCACACCCAACUAAUUUUGUAUUUUUAGUAGAGACAGGAUUUCGUUAUGUUGGCCAGGCUCGUCUCGAACUCCUGACCUCAGGUGAUCCACCCACCUUGACCUCUCAAAGUGCUGGGAUUACAGGUGUGAGACACCGUACCCGGCCGGCACUACUAUUUUCAAAAGUCAGACAGAACCUUUCCAGAUGAAGCAGGUAAGCAACGGUGUUAAACGGUCUAGCAAAACUGAGAAGAAUCGAGCAUGAGGAAAGGUUGUCAGAGAGAAAAGGCAGGUAAGUGGCUUCCAGUGACCAUGAAGGGAAACAGUUUCAGGAGAGCAGUAGGAACUGAUGCCAGAACACAAAGCUUCGUGGAGUAAGUGAGUACAGUUAUGUGCCGCUUAAGGAUGUUUUGGUCAAUGACUGCCUAUAUGACAGUGGUCCCUUAAAUUAUAAUGGAGCUGAAAAAUUCCUAUCCUCUAAUAAUGAAGCCAACAUAAUGUCACAGCACUAUGCAUUUCUCGUGUGUAUGUAGUGAUGCUAUGUAAACAAACCUACUAGCUGCCAGUCAUGUAAAAUUAUAGCACAUACAGUUGUGUAUACUACAUAAUACUUGAUAAUGAAUGACUGUGUUUCUGGCGUAUGUAUUUACUGUAGCAUACUUUUUGUCAUUAUUUGAGAGUGUACUCCUUCUACUUAUGUGGAACAAAGAGUUUUUGCAGGACAGCCUCAGGCAGGUUCUUUAGGUGGUAUUUGAGAAGAAGGCAUUGUUAUCAUAGGAGAUGACAGCUCUGUGCAUGUUACUGCCCCUGAAGACCUUCCAGUGGGACAAGAUGUGGAGGUGGAAGCCAGUGAUAUUGAUGAUCCUGCCCCUGUGUAGGCCCAGGCUAAUGUGUACGUGUGUGUCUUAAUUUUUAACAAAAAAGUUUAAAAAGUAAAAAAAGAAAAGAAAAAAAUUAAAAAAUAGAAAACAGCUUAUAGAAUAAGGACAUAAAGAAAAAAAUUUGUUUGUACAGCUGUACAGUGUGUUUGUGUUUUAAGUUAAGUGUUAUUACAAAACAGAAAGUUAAAAAAAUUAAGUGUAUAAAGUAAAAAUGUCAUAGUAAGCAAAGGUUAACUUAUUAUUGAAGAUGGAAAGUAUUUCUUUAUAAAUUGAGUGUAGCUUAAGUGUGCAGUGUUUAUAAAGUCUACAGUGGUGUACAGUCAUGUUCUAGGCCUUCAUGUUCACUCACCACUCACACAUUCACUGACUCACCCAGGGCAACUUCCCCUCCUGCAGUUCCGUUCCUGGUAUGUGCUCUAGACAGAUGUACCAUUAAAAAAAUACUUUUCUAUUGUAUUUUAAAUGUACCUUUGCUAUAUUUAGAUACAUAAUUACUUACCAUUGUGUUACAGUUGCCUACAGUAUUCAGUACAGUAACAUGCUUUACUGGUUUGUAGCCUGGGAUCAAUAGACUCUACCAUAUAGACUUGGUGUGCAGUGAGCCAUACUAUCUAUGUUUGUGUGGGUACAUGCUAUGAUUUUUGCAUAACGACAAAAUCGCCUAGCAAUGCAUUUCUCAGAAUGUAUCCCCAUCAUUCAGCCAUGCAAGAUUGCACUUCAGUUGUGAAAGCUAGAAGCAAAGACUCCUCUUUCAAGAAACUGGCAGUUUCUUGAAAGAAAGUAGAAAGAGCAGAUGGAAGAAGGAAACUGAAGGAAAGAAGAAAUAAGGACCACCAAACUGAUCUAAGUUAUUAUUAUUAAUUUUUAAUUGGAUGACUAUAGUUUAUUUUAAGACUGAGACAAUGGACCCAAAGGUGGGAGUAAAACUGAUGUAAUCAUUUUUUGGGGUAAUUUACGGGACAUACAUCCCUGGAGGCCAGGAGGAAUGGGAGAGGAUGUAAUCAAACACAAGACUGAGCUGCUUCUCCUUCAGAGAUGGACUAGUUUCAGCAACUGCCACUCUCUUCCCUCCCAAGAUGGUUUCCCAAGCCUAACGUAGAAAGAGAGGUCAAAGAAUACAAAGUGGUGCC
rnacentral:lncRNA from 1 species